rnacentral:rRNA from 1 species
GACGAACGCUGGCGGCGUGCUUAACACAUGCAAGUCGAACGGAAAGGCCUCUUUCGGGGGGUACUCGAGUGGCGAACGGGUGAGUAACACGUGAGUAACCUGCCCUUGACUUUGGGAUAACUUCAGGAAACUGGGGCUAAUACCGGAUAGGAGCUCCUGCUGCAUGGUGGGGGUUGGAAAGUUUCGGCGGUUGGGGAUGGACUCGCGGCUUAUCAGCUUGUUGGUGGGGUAGUGGCUUACCAAGGCUUUGACGGGUAGCCGGCCUGAGAGGGUGACCGGCCACAUUGGGACUGAGAUACGGCCCAGACUCCUACGGGAGGCAGCAGUGGGGAAUAUUGCACAAUGGGUGGAAGCCUGAUGCAGCAACGCCGUGUGCGGGAUGACGGCCUUCGGGUUGUAAACCGCUUUCGCUCAUGACGAAGCUUUGUGUGACGGUAGUGGGUAAAGAAGCACCGGCUAAUUACGUG